GAUGAACGCUAGCGGCAGGCCUAACACAUGCAAGUCGAGGGGUAACGAUGUCUUCGGACAGGCGACGACCGGCGCACGGGUGAGUAUCGCGUUUGUAACCUACCUUUAACUGGAGCAUAGCCCGAAGAAAUUCGGAUUAAUACUCCAUAACACUAUGAACUGGCAUCUUUUUAUAGUUAAAGCUCCGGCGGUUAAAGAUGGGCAUGCGUGACAUUAGAUAGUUGGUGAGGUAACGGCUCACCAAGUCUACGAUGUCUAGGGGGUCUGAGAGGAUGGUCCCCACACUGGUACUGAGACACGGACCAGACUCCUACGGGAGGCAGCAGUGAGGAAUAUUGGUCAAUGGGCGCAAGCCUGAACCAGCCAUGCCGCGUGAAGGAUGACAGCGCUACGCGUUGUAAACUUCUUUUGUACAGGAAGAAACACUCUUACGUGUAAGAGCUUGACGGUACUGUACGAAUAAGCAUCGGCUAACUCCGUG
rnacentral:rRNA from 1 species